UGCUUUGCCGGUUAAAUGUGGCCUGUUUUCUGCUGCCUCGUCUAACUUUUUCAGCUGUGUGUGUAUGUGUGUGUUUCAUCAUAUGUGAUGACUCAUUGUAUGAUACCUCAUUGUAAGACACCUUUAUUCACGCCUUUAAGGCAGAUGAUCUGUGGUGACGUCUGUGAGGCUCCGCCUGCACAUAUAUAUGUGUAACACCACAGUAAUCCUUCAGUUCGAUAGCCGCUCUUCACCGAGCCUAGCUGCACAGUGGGGCAACCCAGUGUUGUACCUCGUUCCUCUCCUUCAGGGAACAGAAGUUAUAUUCAUAACAUUUCGUUCCCUUUCAGUCGAUUCACUCGGUACAACACAUAUAGUAUGGGACAUAUAUACACGCCCCACAGAGCAGCCACCGAACCGAAGUCAAACCUCCAAAACUUUAGUGCACUGUAGACCCAGCAGAAAGGACAGAGUGAGCCACUGAAGGGGCUGUCCCAUCCAAACAAUAAAACCGAACAAAACUGUGCGGUGAUGAUCAACUGGCUGCAGUGCAGAUAUCACUCACAGAAACCCCUUUAAACAAGGCCCAUGAGGCUGCCAUUCCCCUUGUUGAAUGUGCCCUCACACCUUGGGGCAACGGAAGACCCCUGCUGCCGUAUGCUAAGGAGAUAGCCUCCACAACCCAGCGGUAAAGCUGCUGUUUAGACAGCGCCUUGCCUUCGGCUGGAUUAGCAAAACAGACUAACAACUGGUCACAUAAGCGCACACUCUGAGUGCGGUCUAUGUAAGCGCGUAGUGCACGCACAGGGCACAAGGAAUGCAACCUCCUCUGCUCCUCAGAUGCAAAUGGAGGGGGGCAGAAGCUCAGCAGUUCAAAACUCAUAGAGCUAUAGGCUGUGGGGAUAAUCUUAGGUAAAUACGCCGCGUUUGGGCGCAGUGUAGCCUUAGAUCCAUCCGGAGUGAACUGGGUACAAGAGGGAUGCACAGACAAAACAUGAAGGUCACCCACUCGCUUUGCAGACACCAAAGCAAGUAGCAGUGCAGUUUUGUAUGAAAGAAACUUCAUGUCUGCUGACUCAACAGGAUCAAAUGAGGUCCACCAAGAACCUCAAGCACCAACCCUAAAUCCCAUGAGGGAAUACUGGAUUUAAGAACAGGUCUCAGCCUGCGGACUCCCUUUAGGAAGCGCAUAGCAAGAGGAUGAGCGCCUGGCGUCAUACCAUCAAAGCCAACAUGGCAUGCAGAUAUAGCCGCCAAAUAGACCUUAAUUGUUGAGAAAUAGAGACCCCUAUCCAGCAGGUCCUGAAGGAAUGUUAAAACAUCCACAAUAGAACUCUGAAAUGGGAGUACAUUUCGGUCCUGACAUGCAAUCUCUACUCUCUCACAUGAGGACCCCCCCUGGAGAGAAGGUCUGGCCCAAGGUUUAAGUGACCCAGAAUAUGUGUGGCUCUGAGUGACAGAAAAUGAACACUGCACCAUAGCAACAGAGAGUGAGACAGUUUUAACAGGGGAAGAGAGCAUGUCCCUCCCUGUUUGUUUAUGUAGGAAACCAUGGUUGUGUUGUCCGUCCUGAUAAGAAUAUGAUGGCCCGUCAGAACAGAACGAAAAUGCCUCAGAGCUAAUAGGAUAGCUUAUAGCUCAAGAUAAUUGGUGUGGAGUUUGCAUUGUGAUGGCGUCCACACACCUCUCACUGCUGCGCCCUCGCACAGAGCCCCCCAACCCCUCAGGGAUGCGUCAGUGGACACCACCUUGCGAAAAGACACCCUCCCUAUCGGAGAUCCCCGUUGUAGAAAACCGGGUUCUCUCCACGGGAGAAGAGCCGACAUGCUGGACGGAGUUGUUGUCAGCCUCCUCUGGAGGUGACGCUGCGUGCACAGCCGGUGAGACUGAGUCCAGCGUUGAAACGCUCUCAUCUUUAACAGUCCGUGCGGCACUACAGCGAUCAUAGAUGCCAUCAUGCCUGUCAGCUGUAAAAUCGUCCGGAAACACAGUUUGCGUCCCAACUGAAAUUGUGCAAGGCAGCGGCGAAACGCAGCCACCCUGCGUUCUGACAGACGUGCUCGGCUUGAAACGGAGCAUAUUUCCAGCCCGAGAAAUGAUACCUGUUGACUCGGAGUCAGUGAACUUUUCUGUAAAUUUACGGAAAAGCCCAGUGUUUGGAUGUGUGAUAGGGUCAAUGACAGCUGAGCCGCUGCUCGCUCUCUGGAACGCGCAAUUAGCACCCAGUCGUCCAGAUAGGCUAAGAUGUGAACACCUUUCUCCCUUAGUGGAGCCAAUGCCGCCUCGACACAUUUGGUGAAUGUUCGGGGGCGAGUGAUAAGCCGAACGGCAGCACCAGGUAUUCGUAGGCUAUGCCCUCGAAUGCAAACCUUAGAAACUGCCUGUGGUCCGGAUGAAUCGCUACGUGAAAGUAAGCAUCUGUCAGAUCGAUAGUUGUAAACCAAUCUCCCGGUCUGAUUUCGCCCAGUAGCUGUCUGAGUGUUAGCAUCUUGAACCUGUAAGUUCGUAGGUAUUUGUUUAACACUCGCAAGUCUAAGAUAGGAUGGAGCCCUCCUCCUUUUUUCGGAACAACGAAAUCACAGCUGUACCAACCUUUGUUCGUUUCCGAGCGGGAACAACUCGUAUCGCUCUCUUGUUCAACAAGUUGUUUAUUUCUUCCCUCAGCACUGCUGCUGCUUCCUCUGCUACAACUGUGUGUAUUACAGUAUGAAAGCGAGGUGGCCAGGCCCUGAACUGUAAGCGGUAGCCCAUGGCAACGGUUCUCUCUACCCACGGUGAGACUGCGCAUGUGCGCCACCGAGGGAGAUGAACAGUCAGUUGACUGACCUCCAGCACUGAGGGGGAGGGGUUGUCGCCCUCUAGCGUGCCGGCUGGGAACAGCAAUACUUUCCCGCCCAGACUUGAUUGAUUUAUGAUGUUUUGAGAACAAAACGAAACCUUUAUUAGACUCGACGAACGUACAUUUGUGACAUUCACACAGUGAACAACAGGCGCCAUUACUGAGGCAUGUGUGUGAGGGAGGGUUGUGCUUGGGAAAACUGUGUUAAGGGAGUGCAGCGCCUCUCGGGACCGGACCCCUGAACAGACAUUAAACAAACACAAAGCAGCCUCUUUGGCUGCAAAAAAUGAAGGGCGGCAGCGUCUCUGCCGGUUUGUGCAGAUAACCCUGUUGUUUGGGCCUCGCAUCACGUCUGGGGAUGAUGCUGCUCAAAGCUUCGGUUUGUUUCUUCCUCAGCUCAAAAUUAGCCUGAAUGUCGUCGAGGGAUUGCCCAAACAAACUGCUGGCCGACACAGGCUCGUCAAGUGAAACCGCUCUGUCCCUCUCCGGAACGUCGGAGAGAGUCAGCCACAGGUGCCUCUGCGCCACCACCGUGGAAGCCAUGCCUCUACCGAGAAAGAGCGCUGCACAGCGGGACACACGGAGGAUGUAAUCUGUGGCGACCCUAGCUUCAUUGAGGAGAGGAGAAAGCGGACUGUCAGGAGGCAUACGCAAGCCGAGUUCCACCAGACACAUAGCCUGAUAUGUCUGAAGCAUGGUGACGGAGCUCAGUGCACGAGCCCUAUUUGCCUGUGUCCUGUAAAUUUUAUCCAGCUCUGACGCUGAAAACCUGCAGUGCUUGGAUGGGAGCGUGAUGGGGCUACCGACACCAUGAUUCUGGGCCGGGGCCAGACAGGCUGCCAGGGACGCCUCCAUAGGCGGAGGGUUCACCAAUCCAGCUUUUUCAGCUCCAUCCAGGUCCAGAAACUGUCCACAACCGGGCACUGUGGCGCGGGUGGACAGCAGCUUGUCCCAUGUCGAGGUUACUUCCACGACAAAAUCCAGGAACAUGGGCAAACUGUUCUUAACAGUCGUCGGUUCAUACAGAAAAAACCCUGUGAACCGCAACGGUUUUUGAGCCGGUGGAGGAGAGGGCCAUUCUACUUCCAGUUUCUCAGCUGCAUGGCGGUACAGUGAGAGGACAGAUGUGUCGUCCAGAUCAACCGGCACAGCAGCGGCGGUAUACUGACCUGAAGACAACGGCUCCAGCUCAUCUUCCGAAAAACCCUGCACGUCCAGGCCGAUGUCCAGCACGUCAUCGUCCUCCUGGUAACAAGCUAGCCCGGAUAGCGGCUGGCCAGUGCCCUCAGAGGGGCCCGGCUCAAAUACAGCUGACCCAUCAGCACACUCCACAUGGUUCCAACUGAGCCUUCGACCAGAAAGUCCUCACCACCGGACUCGGAGGAAGCCGGGUCUCUGGACUCAGAGAGGAGGGGAUCGUGCAGCACAACAGCGGAUUUUCCUAGUAUUUUCUCCACAAAAUUUACCCGCCUUCCCAGGGUUGAGCUCCGAAGCCGGUGACAGGACUCACACGACUCGGGCUCAGUCAACGCCCUCCUGGCGUGGACAAUACCCAGGCAAACGGGACAAGCCUCAUGGAGAUCCUUCUCGUGAAGGGAAAAGCCGCACCCCUAAGGACAGUGGCGAACAGAAGACUUUGCCUUCACUUUCAUGGGCUCAGCGCUCAUAACAAGAAGCAGAAGCUGAACGAAAUUAGAAUGAAAAAUUUAACACCAACAGGGGCAGUUAAGCUAAAAACGAUCAGGCAAUAGCCACAGACAAGACCAGGCUGAGCUAGCAGCAGCUAGUUAGCCCGACUCGGUGGAGGUGUUCUCAGCGAGGUGAAGAGCAUACGAACUGAAGGAUGACUGUGGUGUUACACAUAUAUAUGUGCAGGCGGAGCCUCACAAACGUCACCACAGAUCAUCUGCCUUAAAGGCGUGAAUAAAGGUGUCUUCAGUCAGGCCACGCGAGGGCGUGAUAUCCCAUACUAUAUGUGUUGUGCCGAGUGAAUGGACUGAAAGGGAACUACAGAGUAAUAAGUAAAAGUGUAAAUCAAUAAUGAUAUUUGUAUGACUAAGUGUGACUCACAGGCAUUAUUUGUGGAUUUGAGCGAUGCACGUGACUGCGCAUGGAGUAUGAAUGAAACUGAUACGGUAAGCGUGGCUUAAGUGUGCCGUAGAGCUCCCAUACAAUCUUAAAAGAUGUGUCAGUAACAGUGUCAGUUUUCACAAGAAUUUGAAAUUAGCUCCACUUUGAUUCAUUUUCAGAAAAGUGUGGUUGAUUUUGGUCAAAGAUUUAGGCAAUAAAACCUCAGUUUUAAUCCCAUUUUAGUCAGUGUUUCUAAUCAGUCUGAUUUCAAAGUUUUAGUCCGUCUCUGAACACAGAAAAUUACAGCAACUUUUAUCAAAUAAACAAACCUGAUCCUUACACCAGAGUCAAGCCAGACAGUUCUAACCACUAAGCUCUCAUUUUAAUUAUUAACAGCAAAUAUAACACAAAGUGUAAACUCCUGAUCAGCUGUUAUCUCGAGUUAAGUGAGGGAGUUGAGUCAUAACAACAGAGGGUCAGGGCACCAGCUGCAUGUGGGAAGUCAACACCGCCAAGACAUUUUAUAGCAUUUAUAAACGCUUAUGUGACUCUUUACAUCAUCGUUUCCACCGGAAAUUCACUUCAGAAGUUUACUAUCACGUUUUCUCCAUCUUAAAUGGACCCUGCUAGUCAAACUAUGUCAUGUUUUCUCCAAUAGAAGGUUUCUCUGCAGGUUUCCCUAUUACAUUUUCUCUGCUUUAAGAAUCUCCCUGGGGCAGGCUGUGUGUCAUACAUUAGUUAUUUUUAAAUCCCUGAUAAGGCACUCUGCAAGGUCCUUAGUCAUGUGUUCUCCACUAAAAAGGUGGAUCUGGAGGGCCCUUAAUUGUGUUCUCUCCAUCUGAAGAGUCCUAUAAAAGACACAAUAUCAUGUUUUUCUCCAUGGCAAGGGCGUCUGAAAUAUGUUUCCUUUAAGAUUUUCCUUUGAUGAUGAUGAUUGCCGAUGAUUUUAAUAACUCUUAGCCGUGAAUCCUUCAUUUGAGUGAGUACACUGUUGGGACCGCAGCAGAUUUGGGAACAGGAAGUCCUUUUGACCUAGACUCCCACCCCCUUAUGUCACUGCACUCACACUCUCAAAGGCCAAAGAACAAGGCUCCAAGUCUCCAGUACCAUCUGUGGACUUUCCCACAAUUCCCAAAGGCUGUCACCGGGCCACUGAGUUCUAACAAUAGGAGAAAACCUUCAGACCAUUAAUUUUAAAAAUGGUGUUUAUCCAGACAGACUGCUGGGUCAUUGGAUCUGUCAUAAAUCCUACAACAAACACCAAAUCUUGGAGCAAAGAUGAUCAAAUGACCUUAUGUUUAAACUAAAGCUCUACCUUCAAAUGGGCUACCUACCAAAAUAUCACAUACAAUGCAAAUGUCCCUGCUGUAGGCACUUUUGGUGGUGGAUAGAGGUCAGUGCUAAUGUGCAAACAGACCAGCCAGGCAAGUCUGACGAGGGAGGAGCAACCACGGUGAUGUGACACCAGAACAAGCAUGAACUGUUU